UAUCCUCGUGCCGACUGACCUCAUC
rnacentral:piRNA from 1 species